CGCCUGAGCAUGCAGCAGGACAUCCUCCUGACCUGGUAAUAAUUAGGUGAGAAGGAUGGUUGGGGGCGGUCGGCGUAACUCAGGGA
ensembl:miRNA